rnacentral:rRNA from 1 species
GACGAACGCUGGCGGCGUGCUUAACACAUGCAAGUCGAACGGACAGGCCAUGAUUUUGUUGCGUGCUCGAGUGGCGAACGGGUGAGUAACACGUGAGUAACCCGCCCUUGUCUUUGGGAUAACUUCAGGAAACUGGGGCUAUUACCGGAUAGGAGCUCCUGCUGCACGGUGUGGGUUAGAAAGUUUCGGCGGUUGGGGCUGGACUCGCGGCUUAUCCGCUUGUUGGUGGGGUAGUGGCUGACCAAGGCUUUGACGGGUAGCCUGCCUGAGAGGUUGACCGGCCACAUUGGGACUGAGAGACGGCCCAGACGCCUACGGGAGGCAGCAGGGGGGAAUAUUGCACAAUGGGCGGAAGCCAGAUGCAGAAACGCCGCGUGCGGGAUGACGGCCUUCUGGUGGAAAACCGAUUUCGCCUGUGACGAAGCGUGAGUGACGGUAAUGGGUAAAGAAGCACCGGCUAACUACGUG